CGGACGGGUGAGUAAUGUCUGGGAAACUGCCUGAUGGAGGGGGGUAACUACUGGAAACGGUAGCUAAUACCGCAUAACGUCGCAAGACCAAAGAGGGGGACCUUCGGGCCUCUUGUCAUCGGAUGUGCCCAGAUGGGAUUAGCUAGUAGGUGGGGUAACGGCUCACCUAGGCGACGAUCCCUAGCUGGUCUGAGAGGAUGACCAGCCACACUGGAACUGAGACACGGUCCAG
rnacentral:rRNA from 1 species